rnacentral:SRP_RNA from 1 species
GCCGAGUGGGGUGGCCUGUGCCUGUAGUCCCAGCUACUCCGGAGGCUGGGACUGGAGGAUCACUUGAGCCCAGGAGUUCUGGGCUAUAGUGUGCUAUGCCAAUAGGGUGUCAGCACUAAGUUCGGCAUUAAUAUGGUGACUUCCUGGGAGUGGGGGACCACCAGGUUGCCUAAGGAUGGGUGAACCAGCCCAGGUUGGAAACUGAGCGGGUCAAAACUCCCGUGCUGAUCCAUAGUGGGAUCACGCCUAUGAAUAGCCACUGUACUCCAGGGCAACAUAGUGAGACACUGUCUCU